GAUUUUGUAGUGUAACUGGUAGCACAUUUGACUAAUAAUUGAAAGAUUCCUCACUCGAAUCUGAGCAAAGGCA
rnacentral:tRNA from 1 species